ACCACCGAGAUCUACACUCUUUCCCUACACGACGCUCUUCCGAUCUGCGAAAUUCCUUGUCGGGUAAGUUCCGACCUGCACGAAUGGCGUAACGAUGGCGGCGCUGUCUCCACCCGAGACUCAGUGAAAUUGAAAUCGCUGUGAAGAUGCAGUGUAUCCGCGGCUAGACGGAAAGACCCCGUGAACCUUUACUAUAGCUUUGCACUGGACUUUGAAUUUGCUUGUGUAGGAUAGGUGGGAGGCUUUGAAGCGUGGACGCCAGUUCGCGUGGAGCCAACCUUGAAAUACCACCCUGGCAACUUUGAGGUUCUAACUCAGGUCCGUUAUCCGGAUCGAGGACAGUGUAUGGUGGGUAGUUUGACUGGGGCGGUCUCCUCCUAAAGAGUAACGGAGGAGUACGAAGGUGCGCUCAGACCGGUCGGAAAUCGGUCGUAGAGUAUAAAGGCAAAAGCGCGCUUGACUGCGAGACAGACACGUCGAGCAGGUACGAAAGUAGGUCUUAGUGAUCCGGUGGUUCUGUAUGGAAGGGCCAUCGCUCAACGGAUAAAAGGUACUCCGGGGAUAACAGGCUGAUACCGCCCAAGAGUUCAUAUCGACGGCGGUGUUUGGCACCUCGAUGUCGGCUCAUCACAUCCUGGGGCUGAAGCCGGUCCCAAGGGUAUGGCUGUUCGCCAUUUAAAGUGGUACGCGAGCUGGGUUUAGAACGUCGUGAGACAGUUUGGUCCCUAUCUACCGUGGGCGCUGGAAGUUUGAGAGGACCUGCUCCUAGUACGAGAGGACCGGAGUGGACGUAGCUCUGGUGUACCGGUUGUGACGCCAGUCGCAUUGCCGGGUAGCUAACUACGGAAGAGAUAAGCGCUGAAAGCAUCUAAGCGCGAAACUCGCCUCAAGAUGAGACUUCCCGGAGGUUUAACCUCCCUAAAGGGUCGUUGCAGACUACAACGUUGAUAGGUCGGGUGUGCAAGCGUAGCAAUGCGUAGAUCGGAAGAGCACACGUCUGAACUCC
rnacentral:rRNA from 1 species